UAGACCGGAUUUAAUGUCUUAACGAGAUUAACUUAACUCAACAUUUUCAUUACAUAUACGAAAAGUUAUCUCUUUCUCGAAAGUCUCUUUUGUUACAUAGGUACUAUUUAUUUGCAAGUUUAAAAGUUGAAGGUCGUAAUUUAUUCAGACAUCAAAACAAUUUAGAAUUAAAAGUAACACAUUUCUGUUGUCUGCAUGUUGGGAAAAUUAUUUCACCAGUGUCGUGUGCAAUUGUAAAAUGAAAAACAAACACACAAAUACUUUAUCUGACUUUUUAAUGACUUAUUAGAUGACUGCAUUUCCUGAUACUCAAUUGGCUCUAAAUAACACAGGAUGCAGCUGACCAUUAAGGAAUAAAAAAAAGGAGUUUUUGAUGAUUAUGUUUGCCUCUAAAAAAAUGUUCAAGAUGAGAAAAAGAUUGCUGCUUGCUUUAAUUGCAUACCGAAAAAUGCAUACUUAAAAUUGCAUACUCAUAUUGCUCAUCGCUCAGGUAACUAACAGAUACACACAUAUUAUGAAAAGAAAAGGCGAUAGAAGAAGGAGGAUUCUGGAAUACAAGAUUACACGCAAGAGGCAUACGUACACAGGAACAGACCAAAGAAGAAUAAUAUAACUUAAGAGAAAUGGAGUUUCCUGUGGCAUUAAUUAAGAGAGAGAGUUUUAUUUGUCGAUCAAAUUCUUUUGUAUUUGAUGGCUCGUUUCAAUACGGAUUUUAAUAUUUAGUAUAGUUUAAUUUUAACAUUACAGUCAAUUUUAUAAUAGUUUAACACCUACGGUGCUUCCCUCCUUUCCAAGUUCAUAUAUUAUCCAUUUUGUUGGCAAUACGCUUGUUUGAUAUUCAAGCUUCACAACAAAACAUUGAUGUUUAUUUUGUACUGUAAACAUGCGACGAAUGAAUAACCUACAUCAGCUAACAA